CCUACGGGGGGCAGCAGUGGGGAAUAUUGGACAAUGGGGGGAACCCUGAUCCAGCCAUGCCGCGUGUGUGAAGAAUGCCCUCGGGUUGUAAAGCACUUUCAGUGAGGAAGAACGCCUGGUGGUUAAUACCCAUCAGGAAAGACAUCACUCACAGAAGAAGCACCGGCUAACUCCGUGCCAGCAGCCGCGGUAAUACGGAGGGUGCGAGCGUUAAUCGGAAUUACUGGGCGUAAAGCGCGCGUAGGUGGCUUGAUAAGCCGGUUGUGAAAGCCCCGGGCUCAACCUGGGAACGGCAUCCGGAACUGUCAAGCUAGAGUGCAGGAGAGGAAGGUAGAAUUCCCGGUGUAGCGGUGAAAUGCGUAGAGAUCGGGAGGAAUACCAGUGGCGAAGGCGGCCUUCUGGACUGACACUGACACUGAGGUGCGAAAGCGUGGGUAGCAAACAGGAUUAGCUACCCUUGUAGUC
rnacentral:rRNA from 1 species